GAUGAACGCUAGCGGCAGGCUUAACACAUGCAAGUCGAGGGGUAGAGGUUGCUUGCAACCUUGAGACCGGCGCACGGGUGCGUAACGCGUAUGCAACCUACCUUUUACAGAGGGAUAGCCCAGCGAAAUUUGGAUUAAUACCUCAUAGUAUAUAACCUUAGCAUGUUGGUUAUAUUAAAGUUCCAACGGUAAAAGAUGGGCAUGCGUCCUAUUAGCUAGAUGGUAAGGUAACGGCUUACCAUGGCAACGAUAGGUAGGGGUCCUGAGAGGGAGAGCCCCCACACUAGUACUGGGACACGGACCAGACGCCUACGGGAGGCAGCAGUGAGGAAUAUUGGACAAUGGGCGCAAGCCUGAUCCAGCCAUGCCGCGUGCAGGAAGAAGCAUCUAUGGUGUGUAAACUGCUUUUGUACAGGAAGAAACACCCCGACGUGUCGGAGCUUGACGGUACUGUAAGAAUAAGGAUCGGCUAACUCCGUGCCAGCAGCCGCCGUAA
rnacentral:rRNA from 1 species